GAUGAACGCUGGCGGCGUGCCUAAUACAUGCAAGUCGAGCGAACGGACGAGAAGCUUGCUUCUCUGAUGUUAGCGGCGGACGGGUGAGUAACACGUGGAUAACCUACCUAUGAGACUGGGAUAACUUCGGGAAACCGGAGCUAAUACCGGAUAAUAUUUUGAACCGCAUGGUUCAAAAGUGAAAGACGGUCUUGCUGUCACUUAUAGAUGGAUCCGCGCUGCAUUAGCUAGUUGGUAAGGUAACGGCUUACCAAGGCAACGAUGCAUAGCCGACCUGAGAGGGUGAUCGGCCACACUGGAACUGAGACACGGUCCAGACUCCUACGGGAGGCAGCAGUAGGGAAUCUUCCGCAAUGGGCGAAAGCCUGACGGAGCAACGCCGCGUGAGUGAUGAAGGUCUUCGGAUCGUAAAACUCUGUUAUUAGGGAAGAACAUAUGUGUAAGUAACUGUGCACAUCUUGACGGUACCUAAUCAGAAAGCCACGGCUAACUACGUGCCAGCAGCCGCGGUAAUACGUAGGUGGCAAGCGUUAUCCGGAAUUAUUGGGCGUAAAGCGCGCGUAGGCGGUUUUUUAAGUCUGAUGUGAAAGCCCACGGCUCAACCGUGGAGGGUCAUUGGAAACUGGAAAACUUGAGUGCAGAAGAGGAAAGUGGAAUUCCAUGUGUAGCGGUGAAAUGCGCAGAGAUAUGGAGGAACACCAGUGGCGAAGGCGACUUUCUGGUCUGUAACUGACGCUGAUGUGCGAAAGCGUGGGGAUCAAACAGGAUUAGAUACCCUGGUAGUCCACGCCGUAAACGAUGAGUGCUAAGUGUUAGGGGGUUUCCGCCCCUUAGUGCUGCAGCUAACGCAUUAAGCACUCCGCCUGGGGAGUACGACCGCAAGGUUGAAACUCAAAGGAAUUGACGGGGACCCGCACAAGCGGUGGAGCAUGUGGUUUAAUUCGAAGCAACGCGAAGAACCUUACCAAAUCUUGACAUCCUUUGACAACUCUAGAGAUAGAGCCUUCCCCUUCGGGGGACAAAGUGACAGGUGGUGCAUGGUUGUCGUCAGCUCGUGUCGUGAGAUGUUGGGUUAAGUCCCGCAACGAGCGCAACCCUUAAGCUUAGUUGCCAUCAUUAAGUUGGGCACUCUAAGUUGACUGCCGGUGACAAACCGGAGGAAGGUGGGGAUGACGUCAAAUCAUCAUGCCCCUUAUGAUUUGGGCUACACACGUGCUACAAUGGACAAUACAAAGGGCAGCGAAACCGCGAGGUCAAGCAAAUCCCAUAAAGUUGUUCUCAGUUCGGAUUGUAGUCUGCAACUCGACUACAUGAAGCUGGAAUCGCUAGUAAUCGUAGAUCAGCAUGCUACGGUGAAUACGUUCCCGGGUCU
rnacentral:rRNA from 1 species